ACAGCCUCUGACCGUUCAAAUAAUUUCACAAAAAAAUUAUUUAAAAAUUCCAGAGGCAAAAAUAAGCUAAAAAAACUCCAGGCUUGGUUAAGAUUGCCCAAAAGACGGGAUACGGGAUGGUUUAAAAAUUAUAAUUUGCAGAAGGAAAUUUAUAUUAAUUUUUUUUCUUGUCCUCGUGUCAUCACAGUGUAGAGCUGCUGCGGCGAGGCGUUGGCGCCAUUUUCAAACUCCAGAGCCCAAGUGAAUGGAAGUGUAGUAGCAACAAAUUUCAUUUUUUUUUUAUUUACUUUUUUAUUUUUUACUUCGACAUUUUUACAGUUUGGAUUUGAUAUGUUGCCCUGGAUUUAAAGAUUUUUUUACUAAGGUGCAGAAGUGACUAAAUUGGGAGAUGAAUGUUGAGUGAGGUUGCUUUUGGGAGUAUCUUCGAGUGGCUCCCCUGUUGCUUAACAGACUGAAGAAAAAGGAUCGAGGAAACAAACAAGAGGGUUUACACAUGAUGCCUAGUCAUUGCAAGGAGUGUAAUCUAAAAAAGGUAAACAUUUCCAGUUCAUGAACUUUUUAUAUAUA